rnacentral:rRNA from 1 species
GUCAGGCCUAACACAUGCAAGUCGAACGAUAUAGUGGCAGACGGGUGAGUAACGCGUGGAAACGUGCCUUUCACUACGGAAUAGCUUUUGGAAACGAAAGGUAAUACCGUAUACGCCCUCCGGGGGAAAGAUUUAUCGGUGAAAGAUCGGUCCGCGUUAGAUUAGCUAGUUGGUAAGGUAACGGCUUACCAAGGCUACGAUCUAUAGCUGGUCUGAGAGGAUGAUCAGCCACACUGGGACUGAGACACGGCCCAGACUCCUACGGGAGGCAGCAGUGGGGAAUAUUGCACAAUGGGCGCAAGCCUGAUGCAGCCAUGCCGCGUGAAUGAUGAAGGCCUUAGGGUUGUAAAAUUCCUUCGCCAGGGAUGAUAAUGACAGUACCUGGUAAAGAAGCCCCGGCUAACUUCGUGCCAGCAGCCGCGGUAAUACGAAGGGGGCUAGCGUUGUUCGGAAUUACUGGGCGUAAAGCGCACGUAGGCGGACUAUUAAGUCAGAUGUGAAAUCCCGAGGCUCAACCUCGGAACUGCAUUUGAAACUGGUAGUCUAGAGAUCAGGAGAGGUUAGUGGAAUACCGAGUGUAGAGGUGAAAUUCGUAGAUA